rnacentral:sRNA from 2 species
GAAUGAAUUACGCUGAAUUUUCAAUCAUGAAAAGCGGGGGAACCACAUCGGCAUCGGCAUGCAUUCCAUUGUGAAGGGAUGAAGCCGGCUGCUUGGGGUGAAUCGGAUGAAGAGGCUGCCUUUGAUCAGCUUUCCGUCCGUAGGGCAGCUCUCACGGCCCGAAUCCGACAGCUAACCUCGUAAGCGUCGCUAGGAGAGAGG